rnacentral:SRP_RNA from 1 species
GCUGGGUGUGGUGGUGCACACCUGUAAUCCCAGCUACUGGGGAGGCUGAGGCAGGAGAAUCGCUUGAACCUGGGAGGCAGAGGUUGCAGUGAGCUGAGAUCGUGCCACUGCACUCCAGCCUAGGCAACAGAGUGAGACUCCGUCUCAA